rnacentral:rRNA from 1 species
GACGAACGCUGGCGGCGUGCUUAACACAUGCAAGUCGAACGGAAAGGCCCUGCUUUUGUGGGGUGCUCGAGUGGCGAACGGGUGAGUAACACGUGUGUAACCUGCCCUUGACUUUGGGGUAACUUCAGGAAACUGGGGCUAAUACCGGAUAGGAGCUCCUGCUGCAUGGUGGGGGUUGGAAAGUUUCGGCGGUUGUGGAUGGUCUCGCGGCUUAUCAGCUUGUUUGUGGGGUAGUGGCUUACCAAGGCUUUGACGGGUAGCCGGCCUGAGAGGGUGACCGGCCACAUUGGGACUGAGAUACGGCCCAGACUCCUACGGGAGGCAGCAGUGGGAAAUAUUGCACAAUGGGCGGAAGCCUGAUGCAGCAACGCCGCGUGCGGGAUGACGGCCUUCGGGUUGUAAACCGCUUUCGCCUGUGACGAAGAGUGAGUGACGGUAAUGGGUAAAGAAGCACCGGCUAACUACGUG